GCAGAACAUGUAAACGGGAGAUAAUGUCUGUGUAGAUGCGUUACGAGUGAAUGCAUUAUUUAUUCAAUGAAAAAAAUAUAAUUUGUACUGUGUUAUCCGUAUACAUUGUUCUGAGUUGCGGAAAUUAUUAUCUGGUAAUCUGUUCGAUGUUAGUUCGACAUUUGUAUUUCAUCAUUCGUUCACUGUACAUCAUUAUGACGACAGAGGGCGCGCGCCCCGUAGAAUCUUUUGGGAAGCGAACUAUAGAAUCAAAAAGGGGACCAGAUAACCUAUCCUUCGGAACUCUUAAUAUUUCCCGCACUCAGUCAGAAAGGAGUCGUGGAUGCUGGAGGCAUUGCGACUCAUUCAUCAGUGGGUAAAAUAAACAAACAGCUUUGAGAAUUUAUGCUGACGUCAGAAAUUCUAAUGGUCUGAUUGGUGUCAACCCCAUUUAAGAUGUAGUAAUCAGCUGUUAUGGAAGACAAAAAAGAAGAAAUUAUCAAAUGUUUGGAAAAAGCUACAGAGCUAUUGAAA